rnacentral:rRNA from 1 species
CCUACGGGCGGCAGCAGUGGGGAAUAUUGGGCAAUGGGCGCAAGCCUGACCCAGCAACGCCGCGUGAAGGAAGAAGGCUUUCGGGUUGUAAACCUCUUUUAUUAGGGACGAAAGAACUGACGGUACCUCAUGAAUAAGCCACGGCGAACUACGUGCCAGCAGUCGCGGUAAUACGUCGGUGGCGAUAGUUAUCCGGAUUGACUGGGUGUAAAGGGCGUGUAGGCGGGACUGCAAGUCAGAUGUGAAAAUUAUGGGCUCAACCCAUAACCUGCAUUUGAAACUGGAGUUCUUGAGUGAUGGAGAGGCAGGCGGAAUGCCGUGUGUAGCGGUGAAAUGCGUAGAUAUACGGAGGAAUACCAGUGGCGAAGGCGGCCUGCUGGACAUUAACUGACGCUGAGGCGCGAAAGCGUGGGGAGCAAACAGGAUUAGAUACCCGGGUAGUC